UGUUCCUACGGGACGCAGCAGUGAGGAAUAUUGGUCAAUGGUCGGGAGACUGAACCAGCCAAGCCGCGUGAGGGAUGAAGGUACAGAGUAUCGUAAACCUCUUUUGUCAGGGAACAAAGGCGGGGACGCGUCCCCGGAUGAGUGUACCUGAAGAAAAAGCAUCGGCUAACUCCGUGCCAGCAGCCGCGGUAAUACGGAGGAUGCGAGCGUUAUCCGGAUUUAUUGGGUUUAAAGGGUGCGCAGGCGGCCUGUUAAGUCAGCGGUCCAAGCCCGGGGCUCAACCCCCUCCCCCCCGUGGAACUGGG
rnacentral:rRNA from 1 species